rnacentral:rRNA from 1 species
UACGUAGGGUGCAAGCGUUAAUCGGAAUUACUGGGCGUAAAGCGUGCGCAGGCGGUUGGGUAAGACAGAUGUGAAAUCCCCGGGCUCAACCUGGGAACUGCAUUUGUGACUGCACGGCUCGAGUGCGGCAGAGGGGGAUGGAAUUCCGCGUGUAGCAGUGAAAUGCGUAGAGAUGUGGAGGAACACCGAUGGCGAAGGCAGCCCCCUGGGCUGAGAUUGACGCUCAGGCACGAAAGCGUGGGGAGCAAACAGG